AUUGAACGCUGGCGGCAUGCCUAACACAUGCAAGUCGAACGGAAACGAUGGGAGCUUGCUCCCAGGCGUCGAGUGGCGGACGGGUGAGUAAUACUUAGGAAUCUGCCCAUUAGUGGGGGACAACUAGAAGAAAUUCUAGCUAAUACCGCAUACGCCCUACGGGGGAAAGCGAGGGAUCUUCGGACCUCGCGCUAAUGGAUGAGCCUAAGUCGGAUUAGCUUGUUGGUGAGGUAAUGGCUCACCAAGGCGACGAUCCGUAGCUGGUCUGAGAGGACGAUCAGCCACACUGGGACUGAGACACGGCCCAGACUCCUACGGGAGGCAGCAGUGGGGAAUAUUGGACAAUGGGCGCAAGCCUGAUCCAGCAAUGCCGCGUGUGUGAAGAAGGCCUGCGGGUUGUAAAGCACUUUCAGUAGAGAAGAAAAGCCUACGGUUAAUAGCCGUGAGUCUUGACGUAACCUACAGAAGAAGCACCGCUAACU
rnacentral:rRNA from 1 species